AUGGGUUUGAAUUCAGUCCACG
rnacentral:miRNA from 1 species